UGGUGAAUAUUGGACAAUGGGGGAAACCCUGAUCCAGCAAUGCCGCGUGCAUGAAGAAGGCCUUAGGGUUGUAAAGUUCUUUCACCUGUGAAGAUAAUGACGGUAGCAGGAGAAGAAGCCCCGGCUAACUCCGUGCCAGCAGCCGCGGUGAGACGGAGGGGGCUAGCGUUGUUCGGAAUGACUGGGCGUAAAGGGCGCGUAGGCGGUUUAUUAAGUGAGGCGUGAAAGCCCUGGGCUUAACUCAGGAGGUGCGUUUCAUACUGGUAGACUUGAGUACGAGAGAGGAAAGCGGAAUUCCUAGUGUAGAGGUGAAAUUCGUAGAUAUUAGGAAGAACACCAGAGGCGAAGGCGGCUUUCUGGCUCGUAACUGACGCUGAGGCGCGAAAGCGUGGGGAGCAAACC
rnacentral:rRNA from 1 species